rnacentral:rRNA from 1 species
AGGCCGAUGGCGACCGGCGCACGGGUGAGUAACACGUAUCCAACCUGCCGUCUACUCUUGGACAGCCUUCUGAAAGGAAGAUUAAUACAAGAUGGCAUCAUGAGUCCACAUGUUCACAUGAUUAAAGGUAUUCCGGUAGACGAUGGGGAUGCGCUCCAUUAGAUAGUAGGCGGGGUAACGGCCCACCUAGUCUUCGAUGGAUAGGGGUUCUGAGAGGAAGGUCCCCCACAUUGGAACUGAGACACGGUCCAAACUCCUACGGGAGGCAGCAGUGAGGAAUAUUGGUCAAUGGGCGAGAGCCUGAACCAGCCAAGUAGCGUGAAGGAUGACUGCCCUAUGGGUUGUAAACUUCUUUUAUAAAGGAAUAAAGUCGGGUAUGCAUACCCGUUUGCAUGUACUUUAUGAAUAAGGAUCGGCUAACUCCGUGCCAGCAGCCGCGGUAAUACGGAGGAUCCGAGCGUUAUCCGGAUUUAUUGGGUUUAAAGGGAGCGUAGAUGGAUGUUUAAGUCAGUCGUGAAAGUUUGCGGCUCAACCGUAAAAUUGCAGUUGAUACUGGAUAUCUUGAGUGCAGUUGAGGCAGGCGGAAUUCGUGGUGUAGCGGUGAAAUGCUUAGAUAUCACGAAGAACUCCGAUUGCGAAGGCAGCCUGCUAAGCUGCAACU